GACGAACGCUGGCGGCGUGCCUAAUACAUGCAAGUCGAACGCUGAAGGAGGAGCUUGCUUCUCCGGAUGAGUUGCGAACGGGUGAGUAACGCGUAGGUAACCUGCCUGGUAGCGGGGGAUAACUAUUGGAAACGAUAGCUAAUACCGCAUAACAGUAGAUAUCGCAUGAUAUCUGCUUGAAAGGUGCAAUUGCAUCACUACCAGAUGGACCUGCGUUGUAUUAGCUAGUUGGUGAGGUAACGGCUCACCAAGGCGACGAUACAUAGCCGACCUGAGAGGGUGAUCGGCCACACUGGGACUGAGACACGGCCCAGACUCCUACGGGAGGCAGCAGUAGGGAAUCUUCGGCAAGGGACGGAAGUCUGACCGAGCAACGCCGCGGGAGUGAAGAAGGGUUUCGGAUCGUAAAGCUCUGUUGUAAGAGAAGAACGAGUGUGAGAGUGGAAAGUUCACACUGUGACGGUAGCUGACCAGAAAGGGACGGCUAACUACGUG
rnacentral:rRNA from 1 species